AGACGCCUGCUGCCCAUCCUGAGUGAAAAUAUAGUGAUCCUUCCAGACAUUUCUUUUGCAAAGCGCCACCUCUCGCAAGACACAGGAAAAUGACUCCCGCGUAUGGAUAUUUCGUUCUUGUGUUCCUUAUAGUGACCAUGUUCGCGGCAGAAGGAGAGGCGUGCGAACUUGCUAAACAACUCGUGAACCAAGCCUGCAAUAUGAUGGGGCGGGAGGAAGAAGCUGCCCUCAAGCAAGUUGAGUGAGCGACACCUCAACAGCGGUACCGGUCCGGUAGACUUCCGUAUCCAUGUGUGCUGAAUAAAUGA